UACAGAGGGGGCAAGCGUUGUUCGGAAUUACUGGGCGUAAAGGGUUCGUAGGUGGCCAACUAAGUCAGACGUGAAAUCCCUCAGCUCAACUGGGGAACUGCGUCUGAUACUGGUUGGCUUGAGUGCAGGAGAGGAACGCGGAAUUCCAGGUGUAGCGGUGAAAUGCGUAGAUAUCUGGAGGAACACCGGUGGCGAAGGCGGCGUUCUGGACUGCAACUGACACUGAGGAACGAAAGCCAGGGGAGCAAACGGG
rnacentral:rRNA from 1 species